CUAGCUGUAAACGAUGGAUACUAGGCGUUGAGAGUAUCGACCCUCUCAGUGUCGUAGCUAACGCGUUAAGUAUCCCGCCUGGGGAGUACGCGCACAAGCGUGAAACUCAAAGGAAUUGACGGGGGCCCGCACAAGCGGUGGAGUAUGUGGUUUAAUUCGAUGCAACGCGAAGAACCUUACCAGGGCUUGACAUGUCCGGAACCCUGCCCAAAGGCGGGGGUGCCUACGGGAACCGGAACACAGGUGGUGC
rnacentral:rRNA from 1 species